AUCCCAGGAGCUUGCUCCUGGGUGAGAGUGGCGAACGGGUGAGUAAUGCGUGACCGACCUGCCCCAUACACCGGAAUAGCUCCUGGAAACGGGUGGUAAUGCCGGAUGCUCCAGUUGGAUGCAUGUCCUUCUGGGAAAGAUUCAUCGGUAUGGGAUGGGGUCGCGUCCUAUCAGCUUGAUGGCGGGGUAACGGCCCACCAUGGCUUCGACGGGUAGCCGGCCUGAGAGGGCGACCGGCCACAUUGGGACUGAGAUACGGCCCAGACUCCUACGGGAGGCAGCAGUGGGGAAUAUUGCACAAUGGGCGCAAGCCUGAUGCAGCGACGCCGCGUGCGGGAUGACGGCCUUCGGGUUGUAAACCGCUUUUGACUGGGAGCAAGCCCUUCGGGGUGAGUGUACCUUUCGAAUAAGCACCGGCUAACUACGUGCCAGCAGCCGCGGUAAUACGUAGGGUGCAAGCGUUAUCCGGAAUUAUUGGGCGUAAAGGGCUCGUAGGCGGUUCGUCGCGUCCGGUGUGAAAGUCCAUCGCUUAACGGUGGAUCCGCGCCGGGUACGGGCGGGCUUGAGUGCGGUAGGGGAGACUGGAAUUCCCGGUGUAACGGUGGAAUGUGUAGAUAUCGGGAAGAACACCAAUGGCGAAGGCAGGUCUCUGGGCCGUCACUGACGCUGANGAGCGAAAGCGUGGGGAGCGAACAGGAUUAGAUACCCUGGUAGUCCACGCCGUAAACGGUGGAUGCUGGAUGUGGGGACCAUUCCACGGUCUCCGUGUCGGANCCNACGCGUUAAGCAUCCCGCCUGGGGAGUACGGCCGCAAGGCUAAAACUCAAAGAAAUUGACGGGGCCCGCACAAGCNGCGGA
rnacentral:rRNA from 1 species